rnacentral:tRNA from 1 species
GCCGAGAUAGCUCAGUUGGUAGAGCAGUGGACUGAAAAUCCACGUGUGCCCAGUUCGAUUCUGGGUCUCGGCA